rnacentral:lncRNA from 1 species
GAGUCCGAUCUCUGUAAAAACCUCGUUGUCGAAGAAGCUCGGAUAUCGACGAAGUCUGAAAGGAGUUCGGAGAAUAGUUGGUCACUGUAGAAGGUCGGCUAACAGUGAGGCCUAGAGAGCUUCUGGAGCGGCAUGGUAGAUGGGUGGAGAAGCUCAUCGUCGGAGAAGUCCGGAAGGUCGGACGGUCGGGGGGGUUCAGAGAGAUGCCAC